rnacentral:rRNA from 1 species
UACGUAGGGUGCAAGCGUUGUCCGGAAUUAUUGGGCGUAAAGAGCUCGUAGGCGGUUUGUCGCGUCUGCUGUGAAAACCCGAGGCUCAACCUCGGGCCUGCAGUGGGUACGGGCAGACUAGAGUGCGGUAGGGGAGAUUGGAAUUCCUGGUGUAGCGGUGGAAUGCGCAGAUAUUAGGAGGAACACCGGUGGCGAAGGCGCUACUCUGGGCCGAAACUGACGCUGAGGAGCGAAAGCGUGGGUAGCAAACAGG